AGGAUCAGAGGUGCAGCAACUGGGUCAGAGGCUCAGUGUUGGGGGGGGGGGAGGCGAGUUUAGGAUUGCAAGCAAAAUUUACUCGGAAACAUCCAUGGAAAGACUGAUCCAUCAAUGGACGAGCCGGGGUUUUCCAAGCUUGCAGAAGCCUUCUACCUUCCCAGAUCUGUGUCCUGGAGCCCAAGAAAUUAGUAGAAGAUAACAGGUCUUCAGCUUUCACACUCAGUACAAUACUGACAUGACUUUCGCUCCACGUUGGGCGUCCUGGGCAAACUGGCGUCCGGGCUCAUCGAUGAAAAGAAACACAGUCCCUUUGAUACACGACUGGAAUGGCAAGAGGAGGAGUCUUCCUGGGCCUAUUUAGGCUCAUUAGAGACCUGAUUAUGAUAGUUCUCUGGUGUAAUCUUUAAUCGACUUUGACACUGGAUUCGCCCCGUUACAAAUCCUGUCAUGCAAAUUAAGUCAUUUGUGUUGUUUGAUAUGGAAAGAUCUCCUAUGAAAUGAAAGAUUAGUUCACAGAUGAGGCACCAGAGACUGCUGCCCUUGUGCGCACGGCACAGCUGAUUACAAGGGUGAGAGCAUCCAUUUUCACACUGCCUAUUCCUGUUGGGGGAAGGAGAUUAAAUUAAGGAAGCCUAGGGCCCUGGCUCUAGGAGGAUCUGUCCUGCAACAUCCUUGGGCUUCCCAGUCAUUGCGAAGGGGGGGAAACACAAGAUGGGCACCAGAAGGAUGGCUACCACACUCCCUGUUCGUUUAAUCUCUUUUCUGUUGGAUGGCGGCACCCCAUUUGGGCUGUACUUGGAAGAGAUCUGUGUUCUGGACAGGUGAUUAAUGAUGGUUGAUUAAUUGACAUCCCAUCUUCACUACCCAACUCUUCCCCACCUGCCUCCCAAGC